AUGGAUUGGGGAGACCUAGCGUUGGGGAUUCCCCAUCUCCGCAGUUUCUCUUCUUCUCACAACCUGCGUCGUGUCCUUCUUCCGUAUGGAUACUCACGACGCGAACCCCGUUCUCACUCCCAUUGGGUGUCGGAUGUCUAGAGACGCCAAUCAGCGUCGCCGCGGUCCCGGUUCUAAAGUCCCCACUCACCCACCAGGACUCAGAUUCUACACAGACGCCGAGGAUGGCGGCCAUGGCGCCCCGAACCCUCCUCCUGCUGCUCUCGGGGGCCCUGGCCCUGACCCAGACCUGGGCGGUGGGGCCCGACGGGCGCCUCCUCCACGGGUAUGAACAGUUCGCCUACGACGGCAGGGAUUACAUCGCCCUGAACGAGGACCUGCGCUCCUGGACCGCCGCGGACAUGGCGGCUCAGAACACCCAGCGCACGUUACAGACAGCCGGUGCGGCGGAGCAGCACAGAGCCUACCUGGAGGGCCUGUGUGUGGAGUCGCUCCGCAGAUACCUGGAGAACGGGAAGGAGACGCUGCAGCGCGCGGAUAGAAAAGGAGGGAGCUACUCUCAGGCUGCAAGCAGUGACAGUCCCCAAGGUUCUGAUGUGUCUCUCACGGCUUGUAAAGUGUGAGACAGCUGCCUUGUGUGGGACUGCAAGGUAAGAUUUGUUCCCGCCUUCUCUUUGUGACUUCAAGAACCCUGACUUUCUUUCUGCAAAGGCACCUGAAUGUGUCUGUGUUCCUGCAGGCAUAAUGUGAGGAGGUGGGGAGAACACCCCAUCCCCGUGUCCACCAUGACCCUCUUCCCCAGGCUGACCUGUGUUCCCUCCCCAUUUAUCUUUCCUGUUCCAGGGAGGUGGGGCUGGGAUGUCUCUAUCUCUGUCUCAACUUCAUGGUGCACUGAGCUGUACCUUCUUCCUUCCCUAUUACAAUUAGAACCUGAGUAUAAA